GAGCUCAGGCAAUCCGCCCGCCUCGGCCUCCCAAAGCGCAAGGAUUACAGGCGUGAGCCACCGCGCCCGGCCCACCAAUACUCAAUUGGUUUGACUUCAGUUGAGGAAACCAGAAAAAACUUAAAUAUAUUUAUGGAAAGAAGCCAUUGGGAGAGUGGCUGAGUACUGAGUCUAUCACUACUUGGAUGAUACAGCUUCUGUCUUCAAGAUAAGCAGAAUUGUUCAGAGUCCACUGGAAUCCAAAUUCAACUUGGGCCUCAAUUUCUGCAGAUGGACACUUCUGGACUCCAGAAAAUCCAAGGACAUACAAAACUUAAGCAGCCUUUAUUACAUUUAGUUCAACAAGUUAAAAGUAGUCUAAAACCAGCCUCUGCCUGAUCAAACUAGAAGGCCAGAAGCAGAUGGCAGCUGAAGGAAACAGCUCACUCAAGAUGCCAACCAGGCCUCUGUUCAUGCCAUCAUGGAUAAGAUCUAUUUUUGAGGGUCUAAUUAAGUUAGGAACUA
rnacentral:lncRNA from 1 species